ACAAACGAAAAGUAAAAUUUUGGUUCAAAUCUCUUCGUUUUCUUAGUAUAAGGUCGAUUGGUGUCUCUGGGUUUCUUUGAAAAUCAACAAAAAAGAAAGGACCUGAGGUAUUUGCACAGUUCCUUAAAGAGAAUCCACAAAGCCAAAAGGGAAGGGAAUUGAAAGGUUUGUGAAGAGGAAAUGGUUUUCAUGUGUGAGAUUUUCUUCACUGGAGGAAAAUUAGAAGAAGGAGAGUGGGAGAAGGAGAGAUAACACAACAACUAGAAGAAGAUCCAAUUUUGCCUAAAAUUCCAUGAGUAACAGAAGUGGAAAAAGAGGGAUCUUUAAGCAAAGAACAAGAACCCAAAGUUUUUGUUUCAUCUGCUCAACUACUGGGGUAAUUGGCAAUGUCUGCUACAAUAAUGAAUGAACCGAUGGUGGUUUCAGCACCAACACAAGAAACUCAAGCAACACCAGCAAAACUCGUCGCACAAACCGAUGUCGAGUUCGCCAAAUGUGAUUGCUGUGGACUUACCGAGGAGUGUACCCCGGCCUAUAUCGAAACGGUAUGCCAACGGUAUCAAGGGAAAUGGAUAUGUGGCCUCUGUGCUGAAGCAAUCAAAGAUGAGAUCAUAAGGACUGAAAGGCUUAUCAGUACUGAAGAAGCUAUGGUUAGGCACAUGAACUUUUGCCAAAAAUUUGUCUCCUCCGGACCGCCUCCUGAUCCUACGGUUCAUCUCAUAUCUGCUAUGAGAAGUAUUCUUAGAAAAGGUUUAAGAUCGACCCCUCCGAUCAGUCCUACCGGAAAGGUCCGCAAAAUCCGAGUCCCGGGUUUACUCGGUCUGAACGAUGUUUCACUACCAUGUCUGGUUGAUAGAGGUAUAAGAGAUGAUGGAAAGGGGAUAAAGAGCAUGGAAUGAACAUGGCGGUGGAACACAAGAAAAGGGCCAGAUGCAUUAAAAUUGACA